GCUCCGCUGCGGGGGGGGGGGACCAGUGCCACGGUGGCGCUUGUCAGAAGAGGGAGGGGUGCGGAAAUCUCGCCCCGUCUAACUCCAAGGUGUCGGGGGAACGUGAGUGAUGACCCCUCCUUGCAUUAUCUGCCCCGGCUAAGAGACCCUGGCCAUUCCAGCCCCAGUGAAGCAGAGGCAAAGAGAACCAAGGACGUCCUGGGGGUUGGAAACCUUGCAAGAGACAACAACUGUUCGCCACGGACGCCGCUCUCACUCUGCCGUGUUGGUGCCCAUGCCACAGUGUGCUCAAAAUUGUGAAAAUACUUUCUCUUCCUUUUAUGAGUGAAAUAAUUCGUGCCAUCGUGUGGUUCUGUCACGGAAAAAAAAAAGAAAAAAGAAAAGGGAACAGAGCACCUCAAGGAAAAUAACGUCUUCUGAAACAGUCAGAUGUGCGAGCCGGCGUUUUAAGUUUUUAUUUUUAUUUUUAAGGUUUAUGUAUUUCUUGGGGGGGGGGAGGGGCAGAGAGAGAGAGGCAGAGAGAGAAUCCCAGUCAGGCUCCCCAUUGUCAGCGCAGAACCCAAUAUGGGGCUCGAUCCCACGGACUGUGAGAUCACGACCUGAGCUGAAAUCAAGGGUCGGACACUUAACCUACUGAGCCCCCCAGGUGCCCCUAAACUGGGGUUCUAAAGCCUGACAGGGGAGGAGCCUCGGCCCCCACCCUGGGCUCUCACAGUGCCCUGGAGCUCUAUUUUGUGACUUGUCGCCUGUGUGUCUGUCUUCCUACCCAACUGGGAGCCUCUGGGGGUGGGAGCUGUGCCCUUUUGUCACCUUACGCCCAGCACAGAGCACUGCAGCACCUGGCCUCACGGGCACACAGGGAGGUCUGUGAGGAUCCUCCGGUGUGGCUUACGCGUGCCUAGUGCCCCCCAACUGCUAUCCUUCAUUCAGCACAGACACCGCCUGGAACCCCAGAGCCGCUCCCCAAAGAGACAUAUUCAGCCUCCCACCUGCUUAGCCAUUCAAAGUCUCCCCGUCAGAAACCGGGAUUUGCUGCCUGCCCCCUCUAGUCAGCAGGCGUCUCCAGGAUCUGCAAGGGUGUCCCUGAGGUAGCCUUAGAUUCCCUCUUCCCCUGAUGGCUUUCAUUUGGUUAAUUGACCUGGCAAAUUAUCGCUUGGGAAGAGCCAUCACUAGCCUCCACCCCAGAGAAAGGAUGAGAAGACCAUCAGACCUCUGUGGGGCCAGCCUACAUUCACUUCCAACAUGAAGUGUUAGAACAUGAGGUAUCUCCACCUGGAGAGCCGGAACCUUCUGGAAGACUCUGGAUCCUUGUACAGGGUGUUGAGCUGCUGGCACCGAACUCAGUAAUAAACGCCCUCGGUUCGUGCAGUCUUCACUGUAAGGGUGCUCAUUAGAAACAGUCUCACUAGGCUUCAAUGAUUUGAAUAGAAAUGGAUAUAUUUAAUAAAAACAAUCUGCUUUGUGAAA